CCGCGCGAAGGUAGCGUAAUCACUUGUUUUUUAAAUAAAGACUAGUAUGAACGGCCGCACGAGGACCUAACUGUCUCCUUUGUCUAAUCAGUGAAACUGAUCUCCUCGUGCAGAAGCGAGGAUUUUUCCAUAAGACGAGAAGACCCUAUGGAGCUUUAAACUUUUGUUAACUAUUUUCUUUAUCCCUCCAAGGAAUUAACAACCAAUUAAAUCUACUUAAUAAAAGUUUUGGGUUGGGGCGACCAUGGAGGAAAAAAAAUCCUCCCUGAUGACAAUCUAACCAAGAGCCACAGCUCUAAGUAUUAAGACACUUAACUCCUAUUGACCCAUUUUAUGAUCAACGAACCAAGUUACCCUAGGGAUAACAGCGCAAUCCAUUUCAAGAGUCCCUAUCGACAAAUGGGUU
rnacentral:rRNA from 1 species